UGGGGAAUAUUGGACAAUGGGGGCAACCCUGAUCCAGCAAUGCCGCGUGUGUGAAGAAGGUCUUCGGAUUGUAAAGCACUUUCGACGGGGACGAUGAUGACGGUACCCGUAGAAGAAGCCCCGGCUAACUUCGUGUCA
rnacentral:rRNA from 1 species